CUAGCCAUGCGAGUCGUUGUAGCAAUACAAGGCGGACUGCUCAGUAACACGUAGUCAACAUGCCCAGGGGACGUGGAUAACCUCGGGAAACUGAGGAUAAACCGCGAUAGGCCAAGGUUUCUGGAAUGAACCAUGGCUGAAACCUACAUGGCCCCUGGAUUGGACUGCGGCCGAUCAGGCUGUUGGUGAGGUAAUGGCCCACCAAACCUGUAACCGGUACGGGCUCUGAGAGGAGGAGCCCGGAGAUGGGCACUGAGACAAGGGCCCAGGCCCUAUGGGGCGCAGCAGGCGCGAAACCUCUGCAAUAGGCGAAAGCUUGACAGGGUUACUCUGAGUGAUGUCCGUUAAGGGCAUCUUUUGGCACUUCUAAAAAUAGUGCAGAAUAAGGGGUGGGCAAGUCUGGUGUCAGCCGCCGCGGUAAUACCAGCACCCCGAGUGGUCGGGACGAUUAUUGGGCCUAAAGCAUCCGUAGCCGGUUCUGCAAGUCUUCCGUUAAAUCCACCUGCUCAACAGAUGGGCUGCGGAGGAUACUACAGGGCUAGGAGGCGGGAGAGGCAAGCGGUACUCAGUGGGUAGGGGUAAAAUCCUCUGAUCCACUGAAGACCACCAGUGGCGAAGGCGGCUUGCCAGAACGCGCUCGACGGUGAGGGAUGAAAGCUGGGGGAGCAAACCGGAUUAGAUACCCGGGUAGUCCCAGCUGUAAACGAUGCAGACUCGGUGAUGGGGUUGGCUUCGAGCCAACCCAGUGCCGCAGGGAAGCCGUUAAGUCUGCCGCCUGGGGAGUACGGUCGCAAGACUGAAACUUAAAGGAAUUGGCGGGGGAGCACCACAAGGGGUGAAGCCUGCGGUUCAAUUGGAGUCAAC
rnacentral:rRNA from 1 species